AGGGGCAUAGCUCAACUGGCAGAGCGUCGGUCUCCAAAACCGAAGGUUGGGCGAAGGUUGGGGGUUCGAUUCCCUCUGCCCCUGCCA
rnacentral:tRNA from 1 species